CACGCACACACACGUAUACCAUAUAUAUAUAUAUAUAACAGGAGAUGGAGAGAUGGGAGAUGGAGCCCCCCCACCGUCCCAGAGGAAGGCCUCCUCUCGUUGCCUCCUCACGCAGAGCUGGUCUCUCCUGGGCGAGGGGAGACGUUUUCUCUGCAUCACUCCAUUGAUCCGGCGAGGAGACGUUUGUUUUUCUUGGUUUGGUUGGGUUUGGUUUCGUGUGCGCAGCACACGGGGACCAGCCGAGUUCCUCCUAAGCAGGAAACCCCCCUCUGAGAACAUAUUUGUCUGUUUUGGUGUGAAAAUUGGAAAUAGCUGUAAAAUUCCCUUUCCCUCUUUUUGGUAUAAACGGCAGACGGAAAAUGACUCACCAGCCAGAUUAAACCGAUGAAUGUGUGUGUGCAGUAAACCUCUUAUAUAUGCUUGGGUGUUUAAGCCUUUAGUGCAGAAUGAUGACAUGAUCCCCCCCCCCACGUAUCCCCCCAUCACCGGGGCCUCGGCCUCUUUUCAGAUACGCCCGGAUAUUUUAAAGGAGCAGGUAUAUUUUUUUCAAGUCCGUCUUAAAACAACAUUUGAGUGCCGAUUUGAGUUCUUCUUCCCGUCCACGAAAUAAAUCCCCUCACAAAGGUUUUCUGAUGUAAGAAUCGGAGGAUUAAAGCGGUAUAAUUCAGUUAAUUGUAAGCUUCAGUAGCUGGAAUCACUCAAAGCGAGUCGUUCCCUUUGAAAUUGAAAAACACGUGUUUUAUUGCCUCGGUGGAGGCGGGGAAGGAGUUCUGAAAGGGCCCGAAGUGCCCGGGGGCCUCCUGGCCCUCGCCCGCUAAAUGCUACUCAAGGAGACUGAAAACAACUGCAAAGAAGUGCAAAAGCCCAAAGAGACUCACAAAUGACCAACGGUAAAAAAAAAAAAAAGUGAUUACAAAGAGGCACCGUGUGACUACGAAGAGACGGCCGGCCACUUCAAGGGGACAAAACAUGACAAAAGAGACACAAAAUGAGCACAAAGAGGUGAAACAGCCGUUGUUUCUUACUGUGAACGGCGGUGGAGGAACAUCUAAGUCUGUAGAAUCACAUUGAGCAAAGGAGCUCAAGUAGGACAUUUAAGGGACUUUAAGACGGACUUAAAAUGUGAACCUUUCCUUUAAUUUCUAUCAUUAUUUGUGGGGUUUUAAUAAUGCUCUAGUUGUGUUUUUCCUCAAAAUAAUGCUACUUUCUGAUUUUUACUUUACCCUGUCAAGUUAUGGAAGUCUACAACUAAAGACCAAAGUGUUUAAAUACCGUCUCUAUGCAUUGCAAAAUAAUGCUGAAUCAGCCAAAGACGUGAUGGUGCGUGUGACAUUAUAUUGGGUCUAAUUUGAUUUAAAUGAUUCAGUCAUUUGAAGGGCUUCAUUUAGUAGCUGCAUAUUGUUGGUAUGAUUGAGCUUUAAUGACCUAAUUGUCUUAUCUUAUCAUAUUCAGAAAUGUAUGAGUGCCCAUGUAAUGAAUGAGUCCAAAUAUUCAGAACAUAUUUCAUUAAAAAAAAACAUUUAAAUAUUUUUUAAAUUGACAAAUGUUUGUUUUUCAUAUCUGUAAAUGUAAUUGCAUUUUUAUGCACUGGAUUUAUGUUUAUUUUAGGAUAUUUAACUUUUGUUCUGCAGGCGACAACGCGAAUUUGGGUCUGAAUGAAUUUCCACUUUUUGUCCACAAGGGGUCAGUUUAUUUCACAAAGUGUACAUUUUGAAAGAGUAGGUGCAGACCAGCCUUAAAUAUUAGUGAUUAAACAUGCAAUGAGUCUCGAUGGCAGGACCCCGGGGUCAGAGGUCACCUCCUUACCCCCGGGACAUGUGACCGGUACAUCGCGACUGCAUGCAGAGAAUCCCUGCACACGUCUGAAUUAAAAUAAGCACCGAGAACCAAAUAAUCAGUAUUCUGAUGCUUUUGGGG
ensembl:lncRNA